rnacentral:rRNA from 1 species
UUCCCAGACUCCUACGGGAGGCAGCAGUGAGGAAUAUUGGUCAAUGGGAGGAAUCCUGAACCAGCCAUGCCGCGUGCAGGACGACGGCUCUACGAGUUGUAAACUGCUUUUGUACCGGGGUAAAAUGCCUUACGAGUAGGGUUUUGAAAGUACGGUACGAAUAAGGAUCGGCUAACUCCGUGCCAGCAGCCGCGGUAAUACGGAGGAUCCGAGCGUUAUCCGGAUUUAUUGGGUUUAAAGGGAGCGUAGAUGGGUUGUUAAGUCAGUUGUGAAAGUUUGCGGCUCAACCGUAAAAUUGCAAUUGAUACUGGCAGCCUUGAGUACAGUUGAGGUAGGCGGAAUUCGUGGUGUAGCGGUGAAAUGCUUAGAUAUCACGAAGAACUCCGAUUGCGAAGGCAGCCUACUAAACUGCCACUGACAUUGAUGCUCGAAAGUGUGGGUAUCAAACAGGAUUAGAUACCCUAGUAAAC